UACGGAGGGUGCAAGCAUUGAUCGGAAUUACUGGGCGUAAAGGGCGCGUAGGCGGUGAGAUAAGUCAGAUGUGAAAUUCCGGGGCUCAACCCCGGAGCUGCAUUUGAAACUAUCUCGCUAGAGGUCGGUUAGGGAAAACGGAAUUCCACGUGUAGCGGUGAAAUGCGUAGAUAUGUGGAAGAACACCAGUGGUGAAGACGGUUUUCUGGGCUGAACCUGACGCUGAGGCGCGAAAGCAAGGGGAGCAAACAGG
rnacentral:rRNA from 1 species